AUUAAUAUAAAUAUAAAUUUUCACUUUAAAAUUUAAAAUUUUUUAAAAAUUAUAUAUUUAAAUUUUAAAAUUAAUAUUUAUUUUUAAAAAUUUAAAAUUUAAAAUUUAAAAUUAUUAUUUUAAAUUAUUUAAAUUUUAAAUUUGAUAUUUUAUAUUUGUAACUUUAAUUUUUUUAAUUUGAGAUUUAAAAAUAUAUAUUUUAAUUUUAAAUUGUAAAUUUUAAAUUAUUUAAAUUUUAAAUUUAAAUUCAAAUAUAAAAAUUAGGGCAAAAUCAUUAUUUUCUAUGUAUAAUAACCCACUAUCAUUCUUAAUCCAUCUACUCCAACCAAACACUAUUUUACUUAUACCUGAACUAAGCCCAAUUCUCAACCAAACACAAAAUUACUGUAAACCCAAUUCUCAAUCAAACAAAAAAUUACUCUAAACCCAAAAACCAUCUACUCCAACCAAACACUAUUUUACUUAUACCUGAACUAAGCCUAAUUCUCAACCAAACACAAAAUUACUGUAAACCCAAUUCUCAAUCAAACAAAAAAUUACUCUAAACCCACCUUAACCCUGAAUUUAACCCCUACCCUUGAAAUAACUAAUUUUUACUUAACCCUGAACAAAACGAAACCUAGUGCUUUAUAUUCUAACUUAUAUGUAGAGAGAGAGAGGGACAGAGAGAGUUACGCUGCUAUACAAUUGAUAGCAUUAAGCGCUCAGUGCUAUCGAGUUUUUUGUUAUAAGAUCUAUCAAUUUGAUCAUUUUCAUUCGUUAGAUCAUAUUAUUCAACCAACCAUCCACUCAACCCUAAGGGACCACUAUCAUUCUAUCCACACAUCCUUUCAUCCGAGAAUCGAAAACCUAAUAGUACCAAUAACUUUAAUAUUUGUAGGAAAUCGUUCAAAUUUGACCGUUUAUUUUAUGCAUGUUUGCUAAACUUUAAUAUAAUUUUAAAAAAUUAUAAAAUUUAUUUUUUAAAAAUUUCAAAUGAUUUAUAUCAUAUUUAACGGUAUGAAUAGUCAAUUCGAAAAUUCCAUCAUAAAAACUAAUUUAGUUGAGCCAGAAUGCUAUUAGUAACAAAUGAGCUUCGUUGACACAUAUUUAUUUUUAAUGAUGGAGCCUCCAAAUUUACGAUCGGUUGAAGUAUCUAAAAAUUAAAUUUAAUACUUUUUCGAUAUUAUUCUCUUAUCAG
rnacentral:lncRNA from 1 species